CUUAAGACCCAAGAUCUGGAUGUGCCGGCUCUCUUGGUUCCUGGUGAUCCUGGAUGCUGGAUGGCAGAUGAGCAGAGUUCUCCAGAGAACACUGCUGGACUGCACUUCACCUCUCCCCGAUCCUGUAACCAAUUCCUUUACUUCCUCACCUUUUAUCUCCUCCAAAGUUUAAUAAA